rnacentral:tRNA from 1 species
CUUUCGAUAGCUCAGUUGGUAGAGCGGGGGACUGUAGAUUUAUAAUUGUGAUCCCUAGGUCGCUGGUUCGAAUCCAGCUCGAAGGA